rnacentral:lncRNA from 1 species
CCCAAUACACGAGAGGGGGACUAUAUAAGAAUCAAUGAAGCUGUCACUAUCACGAACUACCCCACGAUCUGGCAUAUUGGGUACAAUCGCAGAUAAAUACGGUAUAAGCACCACGCCUACACAAUAUCUAUCAUUUACCCAUGGAUCCGAUGGAUAAACGCUAUACGAUCCUAAGCAUCUAUAUAGAUCCAAUCUAACUAAGCCAAGUACAUAACUAUGAUAAACUAAGAACAAUAUAAUCUUGAAUAUAAGCAAGUAGAGCAAAGUCAUAAGCAAUAUAUUGAAGGAGAACAAAGUCAUAUUCAUAAUAUUGAAGAACAAAGAUAAUUAGAAAGCAAUU